GUGGAUCUCCAAGUUUAGGUCGUCUCCCUCUCGAUCUUCAAGAGGUAAGAGUCGAUCUUAAGCUCCUUAUGUGUUUUAAAUAAGUUUUAUGCAAGAUCUAUGGGUAGAAAUGCAUGUUAGGUUAUAUGUUAAGUUAUGGAUUAAUGUUGAUGUUUUGAACAAUGUGUGUGGAUUUUGUGUAUUUGAAGUGUUGUAGUUGGGGUAUAUGACUGUUUGAGACCCCUAGGAACUUGUAUGCAUGUUUUGGUUGAGAUUUAUGCAUGAUUUGAGG
rnacentral:lncRNA from 1 species